GACGAACGCUGGCGGCGUGCCUAAUACAUGCAAGUCGAACGCUUCUUUCCUCCCGAGUGCUUGCACUCAAUUGGAAAGAGGAGUGGCGGACGGGUGAGUAACACGUGGGUAACCUACCCAUCAGAGGGGGAUAACACUUGGAAACAGGUGCUAAUACCGCAUAACAGUUUAUGCCGCAUGGCAUAAGAGUGAAAGGAGCUUUCGGGUGUCGUUGAUGGAUGGACCCGCGGUGCAUUAGCUAGUUGGUGAGGUAACGGCUCACCAAGGCCACGAUGCAUAGCCGAGCUGAGAGGGUGAUCGGCCACACUGGGACUGAGAAACGGCCACGACUCCUACGGGAGGAAGCAGUAGGGAAUCUUCGGCAAUGGACGAAAGUCUGACCGAGCAACGCCGCGUGAGUGAAGAAGGUUUUCGGAGCGUAAAACUCUGUUGUUAGAGAAGAACAAGGACGUUAGUAACUGAACGUCCCCUGACGGUAUCUAACCAGAAAGCCACGGCUAACUACGUG
rnacentral:rRNA from 1 species